GCACCUCGGGCUUACUAUCCUGCUGAAAAGGCUCCCAAAGGCAGCAGCACAGAGCGGGCGCAAACAUGAACCAAGACAAUGUGUCCGUGGAGCCUGUCCAGGGUCAGUUUCUCUGCCACUCCACCCUCCUCCUCUCCUCUCUAAUUAGACGAGGAUCGAGGAUCGCUCUCCACUCUCACCGGCCACCACCGAAGCUCGACUGAGAGCAGCUGGAAUCUGGGAACACUACCUGCAGCACCAGAACCUAAGAAAAAUCGCGAUUCCCUGCCACCAACAUCUCAUGCCAUCCCCAUGCACCCCUCCAAGCCCCACAGGAAAGAGCCUACGGGAGAAACAGCUGGGAUGCACACUGACUUGGAAAUCUCAGUUCUAGGAACCGUGUCUUUUCAUCCCGGAGGUGCUUCUAUGAAGGUGUUUUGGAAUGAGAUGAGCUGGUUGGAUGGCAUCAUUGACUCAGUUGACGUGAGUUUGAGAAAAUGAAGGACAGAAGCUUGCAGAAGCCUGGCUUGCUGCAGUCCAUGGGAUUGCAAUGAGCUGGACACGACUGGGAAACUGAACAACAAACUUUGAGUGAAGCAAAUUGCCCCCCAUUAUGUGGGUAAGCCUCAUCCAACGUGCUGAAGACCUGAACAGAACAAAAAGACUGACCCUCCUAUAAGUAACAGAGACGUCUCCUGAAGACAGACUUCAGACUUGAACUAGAACGUCAGCCUUUCUGGGUCUCCAACUUAAUGGCCUUUGGACUAGAAUCGUAGCAUCAGCCUCAUGGGUCUCCAGCCUGCCAGCCCAUCCUGGCACAUUUUCAGCCUCUGUAAUCAUGUAAGUUAAUUCCUUAUAAUAAAUCUCUCUCUGUAUUUAUACACUUCCUGUUGGUUCUAUUUCUCUGGAGAACCCUGAAUAAUACAGAAAUUCUGUCUUUCAGCUCAAAUUCAGACUGAUAGACUCUCUAUGCCUUUACGUAAGUCAUCCUUAUAUUUGCCUUUAUGCUUUCUUGUGUUGGGCUCCUAAUU
rnacentral:lncRNA from 1 species